rnacentral:rRNA from 1 species
GAUGAACGCUGGCGGCGUGCCUAAUACAUGCAAGUCGAGCGAACAGACGAGGAGCUUGCUCCUCUGACGUUAGCGGCGGACGGGUGAGUAACACGUGGAUAACCUACCUAUAAGACUGGGAUAACUUCGGGAAACCGGAGCUAAUACCGGAUAAUAUAUUGAACCGCAUGGUUCAAUAGUGAAAGACGGUUUUGCUGUCACUUAUAGAUGGAUCCGCGCCGCAUUAGCUAGUUGGUAAGGUAACGGCUUACCAAGGCAACGAUGCGUAGCCGACCUGAGAGGGUGAUCGGCCACACUGGAACUGAGACACGGUCCAGACUCCUACGGGAGGCAGCAGUAGGGAAUCUUCCGCAAAGGGCAAAAGCCUGACGGAGCAACGCCGCGUGAGUGAUGAAGGUCUUCGGAUCGUAAAACUCUGUUAUUAGGGAAGAACAAAUGUGUAAGUAACUAUGCACGCCUUGACGGUACCUAAUCAGAAAGCCACGGCUAACUACGUG